AGAGUUUGAUCCUGGCUCAGGACGAACGCUGGCGGCGCGCCUAACACAUGCAAGUCGAACGGAGUUAUUUUCUUCACUCCGAGCUUUUUGCCGGUUAGCCGGAGCGGCAAUCGGUUUUGCCCAGUAUAAAAAGCAAAACCGAUUUAGGCUCAUAAAGUAAGGCUAACACAGAGGGCAGAGAGUUGGGAGUGAAGAAAAUAACUUAGUGGCGAACGGGUGAGUAACGCGUGAGUAACCUGCCCUGGAGUGGGGGACAACAGUUGGAAACGACUGCUAAUACCGCAUAAGCCCACGAUCCGGCAUCGGAUUGAGGGAAAAGGAUUUAUUCGCUUCAGGAUGGACUCGCGUCCAAUUAGCUAGUUGGUGAGGUAACGGCCCACCAAGGCGACGAUUGGUAGCCGGACUGAGAGGUUGAACGGCCACAUUGGGACUGAGACACGGCCCAGACUCCUACGGGAGGCAGCAGUGGGGGAUAUUGCACAAUGGGGGAAACCCUGAUGCAGCGACGCCGCGUGGAGGAAGAAGGUUUUCGGAUUGUAAACUCCUGUCGUUAGGGACGAUAAUGACGGUACCUAACAAGAAAGCACCGGCUAACUACGUGCCAGCAGCCGCGGUAAAACGUAGGGUGCAAGCGUUGUCCGGAAUUACUGGGUGUAAAGGGAGCGCAGGCGGACCGGCAAGUUGGAAGUGAAAACUAUGGGCUCAACCCAUAAAUUGCUUUCAAAACUGCUGGCCUUGAGUAGUGCAGAGGUAGGUGGAAUUCCCGGUGUAGCGGUGGAAUGCGUAGAUAUCGGGAGGAACACCAGUGGCGAAGGCGGCCUACUGGGCACCAACUGACGCUGAGGCUCGAAAGUGUGGGUAGCAAACAGGAUUAGAUACCCUGGUAGUCCACACCGUAAACGAUGAUUACUAGGUGUUGGAGGAUUGACCCCUUCAGUGCCGCAGUUAACACAAUAAGUAAUCCACCUGGGGAGUACGACCGCAAGGUUGAAACUCAAAGGAAUUGACGGGGGCCCGCACAAGCAGUGGAGUAU
rnacentral:rRNA from 1 species